UACGGGGGGGGCAAGCGUUGUUCGGAAUUACUGGGCGUAAAGGGCGCGUAGGCGGUUUGCUAAGUUGGAUGUGAAAACUCUGGGCUUAACCCAGAGCCUGCAUUCAAUACUGGCAGGCUGGAGUUCUGGAGGGGAUAGCGGAAUUCCUGGUGUAGCGGUGAAAUGCGUAGAUAUCAGGAGGAACACCGGUGGCGAAGGCGGCUAUCUGGACAGAAACUGACGCUGAGGCGCGAAAGCUAGGGGAGCAAACAGG
rnacentral:rRNA from 1 species